GAACCAACAGGGAUUGCCUCAGUAACGGCGAGUGAAGCGGCAACAGCUCAAAUUUGAAAUCUGGCCCCCUCGGGGUCCGAGUUGUAAUUUGGAGAGGAUGCUUCGGGUGUGGCCCCGGUCUAAGUUCCUUGGAACAGGACGUCACAGAGGGUGAGAAUCCCGUACGUGCCCGGUGGCCGCCCCCGUGUGAAGCUCCUUCGACGAGUCGAGUUGUUUGGGAAUGCAGCUCAAAAUGGGUGGUAAAUUUCAUCUAAAGCUAAAUAUUGGCCAGAGACCGAUAGCGCACAAGUAGAGUGAUCGAAAGAUGAAAAGCACUUUGGAAAGAGAGUUAAACAGUACGUGAAAUUGUUGAAAGGGAAGCGCUGGCAACCAGACUUGCGCGGGGUCGAUCAUCCGGUGUUCGCACCGGUGCACUCGGCCCCGCGCAGGCCAGCAUCGGUCUGGGCGGCUGGAUAAAGGCCUUGGGAAUGUGGCUCUCUUCGGGGAGUGUUAUAGCCCAAGGUGCAAUGCAGCCCGCCUGGACCGAGGACCGCGCUCCGGCUAGGAUGCUGGCGUAAUGGUUGUCAGCGACCCGUC
rnacentral:rRNA from 1 species